CUGUGGAAUAAAUUAAAAUCCUUUGCCUUUUUCAAGAAUCAGCAACAUUGCGGUGUGGGCUGAAGGCAGAGAGCAACAGCUUUCACCUUCAUCACUCCCUCCUCCACUUGCACACUCGCUCGCGCACACAGGGGUGGCUCGGGAACGAGCUUCGCAUCCAGCGGUCCGGCGACGGAGGGAAUAUGCUCAGUUCAGAUAUGAAUGAAUGAAAAUAUGACAGCUUCACACAGACAGAGAUGUCUGGAACACCAUUUCCGGUUCGGGCUGACCUGUCAGGUGUUACGUGCUGCUCGGUCCACAUCUGGAGCAGCAGCGCGCGGACUGUGAAGCCACGAGAACAGGAUGAAAAUCGUUCGUUUGGUGCUGAUUCGCCCUUUCAGCGUCUCAGUUAUUUCGCCCCUUAAUUAGAAGACCGGUAACCGCGGUGAAAAUCUGCUGAUCAAACAAUGGAAAGACCUUCAGUGCAUCAACCUAAAGGAUAGAAGAUAGAAAGCCAGAGAGCCUGGAGGGGAAACCAUGGUCAUCGCUGAUAGAAACACCGGCACCCCUGUGCCUAAAAAGGAGCCCCAGAAGAAAAGGAAGUCUCGCCCUCAUGGCCUGCCCUCUCCGGCACUCUGCUGUGCUUGUGGCCUAUGCAUCAUGCUGGCUGGACUCAACAUCACCCUGGUGGGAGCAUUCGCCUUCAGCACACUGAUGCCUUCUGCCAACCCCCCAAUCAUCAUCGGACCUAUCCUGCUGCUGGUGGCCUUUUCCUUUUUCGGAGCGUGUUGCGUGUGCAGUCGACUCCCGCCUCCACACAGCUCACGAAGGUCCAAGGUUGGGGGCAGAGGGGCUGGCUUGAUGGGACACGGCGGGCAGGCUGGCGGGGCAGCGUUUGAAAUAGAGACCAGCGAGCACACGCUGCAGGACACUACAGCUGUGCAGCUGAGCCCCACAUCCUCCCCUGCAUCAUCCCAGGCAUCCAGCUCAGAAAAAGAGGCUCCUGAUGCUGAUGCAGCCCUGCCGGGACCUUGCAAGCUCUUCACCAUGGAGACAAACGGCCCGUCUUGUGUUUCUGCCACCGCAGUCUACUCAACCUCCGCAGCAGCAGGAGGGGAGGUGAAGCUCAACCUACCACGUGAAGAAGUGGUCAUCUAGCAGGGCAGAAACUCUUAGUCUAUGCUAGUAGUGUAAAUAUCCUUCUGGGCAGAGGGGCUGCUGGGUGUGAUUGUAUUCUCUAGUUUACGUACUGCCAUAUUUCUAGUUGUGAAAAGGUGUCAAAAGUUACACUUUUAUUUAUUCAUUUAUUUACUUUCUUGCCGUGCCAACUGGUAAAUAGCAUGCAAGUAUUUGUGGAUCAAAGGUUUCGGAAUUCAAAUUCCUACCUCUCUUGUGUCGUUUUCUUACAGGUCUUUGUUUUUAACGUGGGGCAUUAUGAACUGAUUUCAUGAAGAAGUCAAAGAGUCUGAAACCUUAAACACUCUUUUUCACUCUUGUUCUGAUUAAUGGAAACCUCAACUCUCAGCAGUGACUUUAGAGGGCUAACUAACAAAAAAGACUAAACAUCUGAUUAUUUAUUUCUUCUGAAAACUUUACACGUGAAAGGUCAGUAGCUAAACUGGACGGAAACGCAUUUAAUGACAUUUGGCAUUUUGUGUGCCAUGCUCAGUGCUCAGCUUGUUUUGGGGGUGUAAGCUAUUAUAGGUCAUACAUGUGCCAAAGCAAUAUUCCCUUGAAAUGCAAAGGGAUUGCACCACACAAUAGCCAAUUGCAAUGUAUACAGGUGUAACUAUAUACAGUGUCGUUCGAAGUCAUUAUUUCUGUAGUUUGAUGUAACGAAUACCAUCAUCAAUGCUGUGAAUAUUAUGUUUCUCUCUUUUCAUCUGGCGGUUUAUAACAUGUUAAACUUUUAAUCGAAGGCAACCCCAUCAGUUUAAGGUCAUGUUGAUCAGAGCUUUACUCGGUAGUUCCUAAUGCAGUCGGAGCAAGGAUUUCUUUCUCCUCUUACUCAGCGUGCAUUUCAUUACUUUUUUAGAGUGCUAUAAGAGCAUCUUUUCUAAAUGUGAACAAAGGAAUUUCACAGGAGAUGUUUUCCUCCUAUGGACCUAACAUUGACAGCACUGGAAAGCCAAGAAGUUUAGAUAUUCCAAUUAUAUAAAAUGCAUCUGUUCCCCGUCACUGUGAUGGCUUCAUGUCAGUUUAAAUCUGCCUAGUAGACAUUCAACCCAUGAUUUCCUUUGAAAGGAAAAGUUGCCUUAGACUGAGAUAUCAGGAUCAAACUAAUGAGGGCUAUAAAAAAGUGCACAACAGCAGUUUUCUGCGGAAAGCCUUUGUUUGGCUCCAGAUUUCUAUUCAGCAUUGAUAAGAAAGACUCAGUGAUUUUGUGUUUUUUUGUGUUAUAAAUGCAUGCAGGAUGUGCUCAGAAGUCUGUAUGAGGUAGCAGUUGCAUACAUACAGACAAACAGACACUGUUUGACAUUUUUAAAAAAAAGCCAGUUGGUGUUCCUUCAGAGUUCGCCUCUGAUGCUAAAUUAGAGUGUCAAGCUUAAUUUUGCAUGCUCAGAAAAUGGGUUACGGGAAUGCAAACACCCUGAUGUGAAUGAUUAAUGUUGUCUGUGUGUUUUAAAUUGUGUAGCACCUAUAGAAAAUGUGAAACAAAAAAAACAUGUAAAGGAUAGAAUAUUUUUGUCAAGACUCUAAUUUAAAGGACCCUAACCCAAUGUGAUUUCUUUAAAAGGCAUAAAUAAAAAGGCUCUUUCUGUAAAAA
ensembl:lncRNA